ACGAACGCUGGCGGCGUGCUUAACCCCUGCCAGUCGAACGGUGAAGCGCCUUCCUUUUUGGUGGGUGUGGAUGAGUGGCGAACGGGUGAGUAACACGUGAGUAACCUGCCCCCUUCUUCUGGAUAACCGCAUGAAAGUGUGGCUAAUACGGGAUAUUCUGGGUCUGUCGCAUGAUGGGUCUGGGAAAGAUAUUGUUUCGGUGGGGGAUGGGCUCGCGGCCUAUCAGCUUGUUGGUGGGGUGAUGGCCUACCAAGGCGGUGACGGGUAGCCGGCCUGAGAGGGUGGACGGUCACACUGGGACUGAGACACGGCCCAGACUCCUACGGGAGGCAGCAGUGGGGAAUAGUGCACAAUGGGCGCAAGCCUGAUGCAGCGACGCCGCGUGAGGGAUGGAGGCCUUCGGGUUGUGAACCUCUUUCGCCAGUGAAGCAGGCCUGCCUCGUUUGUGGGUGGGUUGACGGUAGCUGGAUAAGAAGCGCCGGCUAACUACGUG
rnacentral:rRNA from 1 species